rnacentral:ncRNA from 2 species
UGAUGUUCUCAGGGCAGGGUGCAAUUCCCUACCGGCGGUAAGUGGCCUUGGCCAUAAGCCCGCGAGCGCCUAUUUUUGGUAGGGUCAGCAGAUCUGGUGUAAUUCCAGAGCCGACGGUUACAGUCCGGAUGGAAGAGAGCAGCC